GAUGAACGCUGGCGGCGUGCUUAACACAUGCAAGUCGAACGGAAAGGCCCUGCCUUUGUGGGGUGCUCGAGUGGCGAACGGGUGUGUAUCACGUGAACAACGUGCCCUACACUUUGGUAACACUUCAGGAACCUGGGGCUAAUACCGGAUCGGAGCUCCUGCUGCAUGGCGAGGGUUGGAUAGUUUAGGCGUUUGGGGAUGGACCCGCGGCUUAUCUGCUUGUUGGUGGGGUAGGGGCUUACCAAGGCAUUGACGGGUAGCCGACCUGGGAGGUGGAACGGCCACAUUAGGUCUGAGAUGCGGCCCAGACUCCAACGGGAGGCAACGGUGGAGAGUAUUAUACAGUGGGCGGGAGCCAGAUGCGACGACGCCGCGUGGGGGAUGACGGCCUGUGGGUUGUAAACCGCAGUCGCCUGAGACGGAGCGUGAGUGACGGUAAUGGAUAAAGAAGCACCGGCUAACUACGUG
rnacentral:rRNA from 1 species